UUUAACUGCUUGCACUUCCAGGUUGAGGCAGCAUGAGGAAAUGAGCAAAACGUACUUCCUAUAAAUACAAUGAAUUUGUGCAGCUGGGAUCUCGGGAGUACACAUAUUAACACAAAUAGAAAUCAGGAAACAAAAAUUAUGAAUCGGGUUUCAAGUUAAGGAAGGAGGAGAUACUGUGCUGCAUAUGGAUAUGCAAGGAGCACCUGUGGAGAAAGUAAGCUGUCAUGUGAAGAAUUUACUGGAUGGAGAGAAGUAAGGGUCCUACCCCUCAAAAGCACUACCUGUGUGAGGAAAGGAUCUGAUGAUGGGGAUGGGAUGAAGCUUGGGGACCAUCAUUUGUCAACUCUGGAGACAGUGUUUUACAGCAAGAGGGCUGUCUGUAGAAUCUGCUCGCAAAAAUCUCCUCUGUGAAAUACUUAUUUUAAAUAGAUUUAUUCCACAACAUGAUUGUAGUACAUUGAUUUUCUGACCUGAACACACUGCAGUUCUAA